UUCGGGUUAAGGUCGUACGUAACCCGCCGACUCAAAUUUGGGGUACGCUUGGAAGGGUAGCCAGAUUUUGAGCCGAAGGGUUACAUUCGUUAAACUUCGGGUUUGUAUUGAAUUUUUUUUCUACCUAUACCUUAUAAAAACGGGGGAAAGAUCUCGCACGGGUUCUUUAUCUGUUUUUGACUAGUGAGAUCAAAAGUGCGCGACGCGGCAAAUAAAAAAAAAGUAAUUAUUAAAACGUGUUAAAAAAAUAGUGUUAAAAGUAUAUAAUGUUUUUUGUGUUUCUUUUUUUAGUAAAAAACUGUAGAAAAAAUUAUAUUAAAAGACACGAACGAGCUAAAAUAUCAACUUAAGUGGUAGUAGUACGUUAUUUCUUAGCUUUUAUGAGGAAAAAGAGUGCUUUUGAAGAAAAAAUAAGUUAAGAAAACAAAAAAGAAAAGAAAAGGUCCAGAACUGGGCCUUUUCUUUUGUCUUUUGGACGUGUGGAGUCCAUUUAGGAUUUCCGGUAAGGGUCAGCAGGAGUUCCGAGGUUAGAGACCAGCCCUAGGCCAUCGAUUACCCGCUGGUCAGAAGUGAGCCACUGAAGCACCGAAAUUCUCCCGACGCCAUCUUGGGAUCAAGCUCAAACUACCACGUGGCCUCAAUUAGGAAAUCAGGCGGUUCUUGCUGUUUGGUGGCCAAUCCGUCUCGAGAGACCUCAGUUCGGCCAACCCGCUUCAUCAUCCGGCCAAUCCGCUUCCUCGUCUGGCCAAUCCGUCGCGAGAGCCUUCAGUUCGGCCAACCUGCUUCGUCGUCUGGCCAAUCCGUCUCGAGAGUCUCCAGUCUGGCCAACCCGCUUCAUCUUCCGGCCAAUCCGUCUCGAGAGCCCUCAAUCCGGCCAUCCCAGUUUGAUGCUCGAUCGGGGCCAAAUCGCGUCAUCAGUUCGGCCAAUCCGCUUAGAAAGCCAGCCGACUCAUCCGGAAAAUCCAUCCGUGGCCAACCCACAUCGUUGACGACCUGUCAGUGAUCGGCAUUCAGCAUAGUUGCCUGACACCACCGCUCACCAUCGCCUACCAUCACCAAUCACCGAGACGAACCGCAGUUUCGUCCUGUUAUCCCGGCGCCCGGCCGGUCACACCACCAAGCUAGCCAACGUAGUCAUCUGAACCGCAAGUACACCAAUGUCAAAAAAAACCUCUUUAUUACCAUUUAUGCCCCUGCGAGGGUGAAUAAAUUUAGAAUGUAAGC